AGCGUGGAGACAGGUGGUGCAUGGCUGUCGUCAGCUCGUGUCGUGAGAUGUUGGGUUAAGUCCCGCAACGAGCGCAACCCUCACCCCUUGUUGCCACCAGGUCAGGCUGGGCACUCUAGGGGAACUGCCCCGGUCAACGGGGAGGAAGGUGGGGAUGACGUCAAGUCAUCAUGCCCCUUACGUCCUGGGCUACACACGUGCUACAAUGGCCGGUACAAAGGGAUGCAAGACUGCGAGGUGGAGCUAAACCCAAAAAGCCGGCCUAAGUUCAGAUUGGAGUCUGCAACUCGACUCCAUGAAGGAGGAAUCGCUAGUAAUCGCGCAUCAGCACGGCGCGGUGAAUACGUUCCCGGGCCUUGUACACACCGCCCGUCACACCACGAAAGCCGGCUGUACUCGAAGUCGCUGAG
rnacentral:rRNA from 1 species